AUACGGAGGUUGCAAGCGUUAUCCGGAAUCAUUGGGUUUAAAGGGUCCGUAGGCGGGCUAAUAAGUCAGGGGUGAAAUCCCACAGCUUAACUGUGGAACUGCCCUUGAUACUGUUGGUCUUGAGUUACAGUGAAGUGGUUAGAAUGUGUAGUGUAGCGGUGAAAUGCAUAGAGAUUACACAGAAUACCGAUUGCGAAGGCAGAUCACUAACUGUAUACUGACGCUAAUGGACGAAAGCGUGGGGAGCGAACAGGAUUAGAAACCCUAGUAGUCC
rnacentral:rRNA from 1 species